AGUGAACGCUGGCGGUAGGCCUAACACAUGCAAGUCGAACGGUAGCACAGGAGAGCUUGCUCUCUGGGUGGCGAGUGGCGGACGGGUGAGGAAUACAUCGGAAUCUACUCUGUCGUGGGGGAUAACGUAGGGAAACUUACGCUAAUACCGCAUACGACCUACGGGUGAAAGCAGGGGAUCUUCGGACCUUGCGCGACUGAAUGAGCCGAUGUCGGAUUAGCUAGUUGGCGGGGUAAAGGCCCACCAAGGCGACGAUCCGUAGCUGGUCUGAGAGGAUGAUCAGCCACACUGGAACUGAGACACGGUCCAGACUCCUACGGGAGGCAGCAGUGGGGAGUAUUGGACAAUGGGCGCAAGCCUGAUCCAGCCAUACCGCGUGGGUGAAGAAGGCCUUCGGGUUGUAAAGCCCUUUUGUUGGGAAAGAAAUCCAGCUGGCUAAUACCCGGUUGGGAUGACGGUACCCAAAGAAUAAGCACCGGCUAACUUCGUGCCAGCAGCCGCCGUAA
rnacentral:rRNA from 1 species